GGGCCCGCACAAGCGGGUGGAGCAUGUGGUUUAAUUCGAUGAUACGCGAGGAACCUUACCAGGGCUUAAAUGGGAAAUGACAGGGCAGAGACGCCCCUUCUUCGGACAUUUUUCAAGGUGCUGCAUGGUUGUCGUCAGCUCGUGCCGUGAGGUGUCAGGUUAAGUCCUAUAACGAGCGCAACCCCUACCGUUAGUUGCCAGCGUGUAAUGACGGGGACUCUAACGGAACUGCCGGUGCAAACCGUGAGGAAGGUGGGGACGACGUCAAAUCAUCACGGCCCUUACGUCCUGGCCACACACGUGCUACAAUGGUAGGUACAGAGGGAAGCCACCCCGCGAGGGGGAGCGGA
rnacentral:rRNA from 1 species